UCCUUUUAUGCAUUUGAAGAUUACCGUGCUGAGAAAAGGCUUUACCACACAGAUUACAUUCAUAGGGUUUCUCACCAGUAUGUGUUCUUUUAUGCAUUUGAAGAGCACUGUGCUGAGAAAAGGCUUUACCACACUGAUUACAUUCAUAGGGUUUCUCUCCAGUAUGUGUCCUUUUAUGCAUUUGAAGAGCACUGUGCUGAGAAAAGGCUUUACCACACUGAUUGCAUUCAUAAGGUUUCUCUCCAGUAUGUGUCCUUUUAUGCAUUUGAAGAGCACUGUGCAGAGAAAAGGCUUUACCACACUGAUUGCAUUCAUAGGGUUUCUCUCCAGUAUGUAUGUUUUUAUGCAUUUGAAGAGUAGUGUGCUGAGAAAAGGCUUUACCACACUGAUUACAUUCAUAGGGUUUUUCUCCAGUAUGUAUUCUUUUAUGCAUUUGAAGAGCACUGUGAUGAGAAAAGGCUUUACUACAUUGAUUACAUUCGUGGGUUUUCUCCCCUCUAUGUCUUCUUUGAUGAAUAAGAAGAUAACUGUGAGAUGCAAAGGCUUUAACACGUUGGUUACAUUCAUAUGAUUUCUCUCCAGUGUGUUUUCUUUCAUAACUUUGGAGAGAACUGUUAUUUUCAAAGGCUUUAUCACAUUGUGUGUAUACAGAAGAAUUCUCUC
rnacentral:lncRNA from 1 species